rnacentral:rRNA from 1 species
GACGAACGCUGGCGGCGUGCCUAAUACAUGCAAGUCGAACGCUUUUUCUUUCACCGAGACUUGUCUCACCGAAAGAAAAAGAGUGGCGAACGGGUGAGUAACACGUGGGUAACCUGCCCUCGAGAAGGGGAUAACACUUGGAAACAGGUGCUAAUACCGUAUAACAAUAACUGCCGCAUGGCAGGUAUUUGAAAGGCGCUUUUGCGUCACUCGAGGAUGGACCCGCGGUGCAUUAGCUAGUUGGUGAGGUAACGGCUCACCAAGGCGACGAUGCAUAGCCGACCUGAGAGGGUGAUCGGCCACACUGGGACUGAGACACGGCCCAGACUCCUACGGGAGGCAGCAGUAGGGAAUCUUCGGCAAUGGACGAAAGUCUGACCGAGCAACGCCGCGUGAGUGAAGAAGGUUUUCGGAUCGUAAAACUCUGUUGUUAGAGAAGAACAAGGAUGAGAGUAGAACAUUCAUCCCUUGACGGUAUCUAACCAGAAAGCCACGGCUAACUACGUGCCAGCAGCCGCGGUAAUACGUAGGUGGCAAGCGUUGUCCGGAUUUAUUGGGCGUAAAGCGAGCGCAGGCGGUUCUUUAAGUCUGAUGUGAAAGCCCCCGGCUCAACCGGGGAGGGUCAUUGGAAACUGGAGAACUUGAGUGCAGAAGAGGAGAGUGGAAUUCCAUGUGUAGCGGUGAAAUGCGUAGAUAUAUGGAGGAACACCAGUGGCGAAGGCGGCUCUCUGGUCUGUAACUGACGCUGAGGCUCGAAAGCGUGGGGAGCAAACAGG